rnacentral:tRNA from 1 species
GCCUUGGUAGCUCAGUGGUUAGAGCGUGGGACUGCAGUUCCUAAGGUCACCUGUUCAAAUCAGGUUCAAGGCU